CUUUCUAUACUUCAUCAAAAAUAGUCUAAACAUGGGUGCAUGUAGCACAUAAAUUCUCAAAACAACAAUCUCAAUUUGGGUUAAUGUCCCUUAUAGCAAUACUUAAUCAAAACAUUUCAACAUUUAUGCUUUAUAUCACAAGCAUGCAUAAUUUAUACGAAAAUCUGAAAAAUUUCAGCCUUUAAUCAUAACAAUAAUCUCAAACUCAUGGAGUUUAUUUUCUAAACAUUCAAAAUAAUCAUAGUAUCUUGAACAACAACAUAGGAUAAGAUUUAUCACUUCAAAUUCAUGAUAAAACAUGUAAAAAUCAUGUAUCUUUGUAAAAUAAUGCAAACUUUGGGCACAAGAACGAAAGGGUGUUCUUGUUCAUAACCCCACAUACCUUUAUGGUAACGGAU
rnacentral:lncRNA from 1 species